UGGAAAAUCUAACCCGAAAACCCAUUAUUCCUGAAACUAACGUGCACAGCCAGCAAACCCAAAAACGAAGACCCUGUGCUCUGCUCCGGCGACGAUCUGCUCCGGCGGCUGCUCCGGCGACGAUCUUUCUAUCGACGUUAUCCACCGACGAGAUUGUAUGCUCUCUCCUGUGAUGAUCUCCUCUAGCAGUUGCAGAAACUUUAUAAAACUAUGAGAUCUAUUCCGCAAGUGUUUGCUCCGACGAUCUUCUUCAGCGGCGAUCUCCUCCAUCAACACAGAAGUUUCCUAUGGCAUCGAGUUGUGUUCUGCGAUUUCUCCAUCUCCAUCGAGCUUCAUUGAGCAUCUAGGUUUUUUAUUUUCUUCCCUGUCAGAAGAAAUUGGAGGUACUUCUAUUACUGAAUUAUUUUAUUUCAUUCUAUGUAAUUUUCCACCAUAUCUCCCAAAAUCUGCUAGUAUUGCGAGAACAAUUGAGCAUUAUAGAAAAUGAAGAUGUUCAUACAAUGCAUGAUGCUGUGUAUAAGAAGUACACAAUGUUCAACUUUUUGAGCACUGGAAGAAAUAACUUGGUACCAGGCAUGAAUUAGAUGGAGGAUUUACACGGUCUCUCAUUCAUAGAACAGAAGUCAACUCAAAGGCAUCUAGUAGGGGAAUGAUUAGUAUAAUAAUAUCAGGGAACUAGCGGACAAGGUAGCAGCAGCUGGAUUCUUGGUUGUAGUUCCUGAUCUUCUAUAUGGUGACUGCUUUAGUUAUGAUCCUCAAUUUGAUAGAGAAGGAUGGUUGAAGAAACAUGGAGAGAGGAAUGUGAUUAUUUUAGUGGGGACUGGGUCCCCAAUCCUUUUGGACCAUUGUAUACCAAUGAAACCUACAGCCACAUUGAACCUCAUCAGAAUUGUUUGAAGAAUGGAAGGCCUGAUAGAGAAUUUCUGUAUUGGAGAUGGGUUCUAAGAGGCUGUGAGUUACCCCUGUUUGAUGCAGGGAAGUUUCUCAACAUGAUGCAUGGCAAAGUGUGGGCGUUGAUUGAUGAUUCCAUAUCCCGCAAUCAUGUGCAGUUGUUGAUACGCAUUCUUUGAACGGUAUGAGGAGGAUACUUUGAAAGUGGGUAGACAGAAAACCAACAUAAUGUUCAUAGGAGAUGGAAGGAGCAAAACGGUCAUCACAGGAAAGAAAAGUGUUGCUGAUAAAAGGCAAAAUGGAAGGGGCAUGACCACAUUCUGCACAGCCAACAAAUUAUGCUGGUUUAUAUUUUCCUUUUCAUAAAACAUAAAUAUCGUACAUCAGUUUAAUUAUCAAUAAUUAGAAUAUAUUUCUGUAUACGAAUUAAGAACUAAGAAGACCAGCCAAUAAAAUAUGUUAUAAAAAUUGAAAACUGCUAUCAAUAAAAAUUAUAAAUAGGAGCAGUUAAAAAUUCUAAAUUGGUCAAUUAAUUCAACUAUCAGAGUGAAUAACUACUAUUAUUUGCACUUUUCAUUUUAAGCAUAU